rnacentral:rRNA from 1 species
GCAACCUGGCGGCGUGCUUACACAUGCAGUCGAACGGAAAGGCCCGCUUGCGGGUACUCGAGUGGCGAACGGGUGAGUAACACGUGGGCAACCUGCCCUCAGCUUUGGGAUAACUCCCGGAAACGGGUGCUAAUACCGAAUAUUGACAUUUCCUCGCAUGGGGGUUUGUUGAAAGUUUUUCGGCUGGGGAUGGGCCCGCGGCCUAUCAGCUUGUUGGUGGGGUGAUGGCCUACCAAGGCGACGACGGGUAGCCGGCCUGAGAGGGCGAUCGGCCACACUGGAACUGAGACACGGUCCAGACUCCUACGGGAGGCAGCAGUGGGGAAUAUUGCGCAAUGGGCGGAAGCCUGACGCAGCGACGCCGCGUGAGGGAUGAAGGUCUUCGGAUUGUAAACCUCUUUCAGUAGGGACGAAUUUAGACGGUACCUGCAGAAGAAGCACCGGCCAACUACGUGCCAGCAGCCGCGGUAAU